CGGCAUCGCGCAAAUUUUCACCUCAUUCGUUUGCCAAACCCGCCAUCGCUGGGCAGAAAAUUCUUUAAAGCUGCGAGUGCAAAUCAGCCGUAUCGGGAUUUGUGUAAAUUUUGUGCCACGCAAAGUAGUCGCCAGUGAGCCCGGAAAAAAGACAGAGCUUUUGAUAACCGUUGGGAAGAUCCGACAGCAAACCCAGCACCAGGAAAAUAUCGGUUCCGGUGUCACGUGGAAGAAAGCCGCGAUUGCUGCUGAAAAUCGGAAAACGCGUGGAAAACGGGAACAUCAAGGUGCAGCGGUCGCUGCGGAAACACUGACGAAAGCAUUUGCUGACAGGAGAAUCGAUACGAAUAUCAGAACAAGCGGCACGAUCCGGUUGCAGGCGCUGAGCAACGCAGUUGGGCACGACGAGAAGGUGAAGACCAGUUAGUGGUUAGUGCACGGUUGGCUCUAUCAAAAACCCAGAGCGAAAGGGGACCGACAAAAGGUGGCAGCCAUAAUCACCAAUUCACAAACAGCAAAGCCGACUCGUAUUCAGCAAAAGAAACCCCAUUGGGGUUCUUUUUUAGAGCUGGUUGGCCGUUCUUUCAUCUCGGGUGGCACGAGCGAGACACGGAAGGUGGGCUGCGAGGUUGAGAGCCGGAAGGUUGUCACAGUCCUCAGCGCGAAUCUUUGCAGGAGGUGGGAUAGCAGCAGCACAGUGUCCUGGGGCUUGUCGGAGAUCCGCACACAACCACGUGGAAAUAAUCAACGUGAAUCGAAGGUGCCUCGGAGGGACCCCAUCCAGCAACUCGGUCGCACUGGACGGCCAGAGGGGUCUCCAGCGGAGGCAGCAACCUUGUGAGUGGCGCGGCGAGGGACAGCGCGGCGAGCUUUUGGCAGAA